UUAAGUUACAUCGCUUUCUUUUAUUUUCUUAAUUUAAUGUCUUAAAUUUAUUUAUGUUAUAGUUAAAUUGAACUCUUGUAUUUUAAUUAUAUUAAAUUUAGUUAUUUUUGUUAUUAAUAUGUUGUGUUAUGUUAUGUUUUUUAAUUUUUCGAUUUUUUUAAUUUUUAGGAAUUUAUUUAAGUUUUUUUGUUUACAUUUCUUUUUUGUGUUUUACUUUUAUUUAAAAUUAUUUAAUUAAUCGAUAUAUUAAAUUCCUUCUUUAUAUUAUAAUCCUUAUUUAUAUUAUAAUGUUUCAUUCAAUUUAAUUAUUUUUUUAAAUUAAUAAUUAUAUUAAUAACUUUUGUUAUAUUUCUACGUCUUUACAGUCAACAACAAUUAAUAUAUAUUGUAUGAUAUUUCAAUUUUCCGCGCAAUUUUAGAAUGAAUAAGAAAGUGUGAUGCACCAGCCAAUCAGAACGUCGCUUAAUUCGAAACGCGAGACGAAUCAGUGCGCAUCAUAGUGCGCAUCGUAAUGCGCAUGGCGUCAGUCUACAGUUGAAAAUCGUGACAAGAGGACGAAUCAUCGCAAAUUCGGAUUACAUAGUUUAAUUGGUAACAUCAUGAUAGAUCUUCGAAGGCGGGAAAAAUUCCAAUAUGGCCACUAUGUGUUUGUUGAUGACGUGGUAAAAUUUUACAUUUCGUAUGAAGUAAGGAAAAUAAAUAGGAAAAACUCCGUAAUGAUG